GUCCUACAGUACUUAUUAAGGGGAUCCAAGCGGGCCGCCCGAGUCUCCUCGGCCCUUUACCACAGCUCUGUGCUCUCGCCGUUUGUUUGGCUCCAUCCCUGGUUGCUGCUCCGCCCUCCGCCCCGUCUCUCCGUUGCUGGGCCUUGGUGCGCUCCCGCGAAAACACUCUCAACGCUCUCUGGUAACCGAACAACGUCUGAGUUGAGGCUGAACAACUGGAGAUCCUGACAUGAGAACAUGCAAUGAGGUACACUGCCAUGACCAAGAGCUUCAACAUCCAGGGGUCUGCCACCCUCCCAGCUUUAAAGUGAUGUUCAGCCCUGAGUAAUUGAGAAACUACUUGGUCAGCUAAAGUGGAGCAAACAUCCAACACACACACACGCCACGUGUAUAGAUACACACAAGUAUGCAAACAACCAACUUGUUCAUUGUUUACCGUUGUAGCCAGAGUAGUUCCUCUCUGUUGUAGUGAAUGAACAGCCAUGUUAAUAGUUAGGCAAUUAAUAAAAAAAUAAGUACAGGGGUUCCUCAGGACCGACAGACAGGACCACUAAACCAGCUGACUCAGGGGUGUCUCAAUGCAGUUCUCAUCCGCAGGCAUGUCCUGAAGGGUCUCCAUUUUUUCCUUCACAUAUUGCAUCCUGGACCACUCCUCGGCUGGGACCACACCACUAAAUUAUGGUACACACAAGUGUCAAGGCCCCCCCGAACUCAACACCACGAACAAAAGCCACGCAGAAAUCAGUUACGUAAACGCCGGCUCUGCAUCGCCACACACAGCAAAGCAUCUGAACAGCAGGCGCGCUCUCCUCAGUCCUCGUGGUGCCUUGUUACUUUGGGUGCUUCAGUCCAGCCACGGCAGCCAGCUUCCCAAACAACAAACGCCAACGUCUCCUUUCGCUCGCCGAGCGGCGUCGUCCCCACGUUUGAACCGUUUCAUCCUCUGUCGUCUAGUCACGGUGUUCCAACUAAACAGAACCGAGCGGUGGGUGAGGAAGAAAGUGAGGCAAUACUGAUACAUUUUUUCCGUACUCCUCAUCUUUAUUACGUUAUUACGGCAUUGGACCGUCGGAUGGACGGGCUUAACGGGCGCCAGCCACCACGCCGAGCGAUUUGGUCAAGGGAUUGUUUUGUACUUUUGUCUACGCCUUUACAUCUUCUCCUGUCUUGCAACGAUGAAUGAUUUGUAGUGCCAAGACGUGAACUCUCUGUGUCGUUUGUCCUGUGUGAAAAAUACAUCCUCUAGCCAAAACAAAAAAGCCUGCAGUUUGGAGUGAAACACGGAAGGAGCGAAUGAGGACGACGUCGCAUUUCCUUACAGUGGAAGGAUGAAACAGGCCCGGUUACAGAGUCACUUUCAAAUAACCUAAUUUACUGGUUUUGCCACCAUCUCCCAGCAUGCCUUUGGAAGUCGUUGUGAGGUGACCCUCAACAUUUAGCAUGCAAGCGCUCUGGACUGCACAACGAACCCUCUGAUUUCUGCAUCAAUGUGUGUCAUCGCAGUCUUUCACUUGGUUUUAAGUGCGUACUUUUGUGUCAUGAACAUCUGUUGGACCACUGGAGCAGUAAGUUUAGAUGACAAAAAUGUGCUUACUUCAAUUUCUGUUGCUGACCUGGUGCUGAAUAGGGACAUUUUAAAAGGUGCUACCACUGUGGAUCGCGGUCCACUUCUUAGCUUUCUGAUAGCAUAGCCUUCCGGGUGACCGAGAGGACUUGCCGUCUCAAAACGCUCACCAGCGAGCGUCUCUAAUCCACACAGUUUACAGCAGAACUCGACUUUCAAUGGUGCCAUUUUGAUUUUGCGAACCCGCACAAAAAUAACACAGUGAUUCUCUGUUCAUAUUUUGUCUAAUAUCCUGGUUUCAGCUUACGGUAUGUUUAGUUUUGCUAUGAUUCAGUCUGAACUAGAGUUUUCCUCUUCUUUUUUUUUUUCUCUGAGAAAAUUUAAAUUAGCAGAUGGUAAAAUUGAUCUUUAGGGAAAACGCAAAGGAGCACAAAUGUACGUCUGCUACUGGAGUUUGGGUUGAAAAAAAAAACAUAUAUAUAUAUAUAUAUAGAACGUGAUUGCUGUGUUGUAAAUUCCUGUCAUCUAUAUGUCCUUAAUCUAUGUGUAUCUAUUUUUGUUGUUAUUGUGGAAUUGGCUGUAAUAUUUUGUUUAACAAUGGAUUUGAUAUUCCAAUGAAGCGACUAUUGUUGUCAUAUUAGUUGCUGCGGAUUUUUGAAAUUGUUAUGAAAAGGUAUUGAGAAAUAUUGCUUUGUUUAUAUUCAAACAAUUUAUGUUAGCUUGUUGGUGUAUUUCCCGGAUCUAUCGGGAUACUCCGUAGGCUAUAUGAUUUAUCCGGGUACUCCAAGAGUUGGCACAACGCCACUAGGCAAAUUGGCUACAAUCUGUAGCAUCUUAAAAAAGAAAUUGUACUCAUAAAACCUCUGUUGUGACUGAGAACAUAUAUGGAAUGAUUUAUUUGUUGUUGUUAAAUAUACAAUGUAAGUAAAUUGUCUCAUGGAAUCCCCGUUCUUGAAAAAAAAGCAAAACUGAUGUCCUAUUUUUGGGAACAAUAUGAGUAUUACUAAUAACAUAUGGUGCUACGGUUCUUUUUGUAUGUUUUGGUUUUUAGAUGAAAAGAAAAAUAUUAUGCUGAAAAUGUAAUGUUAAGCCUUACUGUAGAUUCAUAUAUCAGACUGUUCAUCCCAGAAGAAGAAAAAUAAAUAUAGUAUUUGAAAGUGCAA
ensembl:lncRNA